rnacentral:rRNA from 1 species
GUAUCCUUCGGGAAACGAGUAGAGUGGCGCACGGGUGAGUAACGCGUAAAUAAUCUACCCUUAUAUUUGGGAUAACAUCGGGAAACUGGUGCUAAUACCGAAUACACUUAAGACAACGCGAGUUGAUUUAAGGAAAGGUGACCUCUUCUUGAAAGUUGCCGUAUAAGGACGAGUUUGCGUACCAUUAGCUAGUUGGUGGGGUAAAGGCUUACCAAGGCAACGAUGGUUAGCGGGUCUGAGAGGAUGAUCCGCCACACUGGAACUGGAACACGGACCAGACUCCUACGGGAGGCAGCAGUGAGGAAUAUUGCGCAAUGGGGGAAACCCUGACGCAGUGACGCCGCGUGAGUGAAGAAGGUCUUCGGGUCGUAAAGCUCUGUCAGUAGGGAAGAAAUGCUAUUAGAUUAAUACCCUAGUAGUUUGACGGUACCUACAAAGGAAGCACCGGCUAAAUCCGUGCCAGCAGCCGCGGUAAUACGGAUGGUGCGAGCGUUGUUCGGAAUCACUGGGCGUAAAGGGCGCGUAGGCGGCAUUAUAAGUCAGAUGUGAAAGUCCAGGGCUCAACCCUGGAAGUGCAUCUGAAACUGUAAAGCUUUGAGUAUUGGAGAGGAAAGUGGAAUUCCUGGUGUAGAGGUGAAAUUCGUAGAUAUCACGAGGAAUACCGGAGGCGAAGGCGACUUUCUGG